UACUGAGUUUACGCUCUAUAACCCUUUGUGAACAUACCUAUAACUGUUGCUUCGGCGGGUAGGGUCUCCGCGACCCUCCCGGCCUCCCGCCUCCGGGCGGGUCGGCGCCCGCCGGAGGAUAACCAAACUCUGAUUUAACGACGUUUCUUCUGAGUGGUACAAGCAAAUAAUCAAAACUUUUAACAACGGAUCUCUUGGUUCUGGCAUCGAUGAAGAACGCAGCGAAAUGCGAUAAGUAAUGUGAAUUGCAGAAUUCAGUGAAUCAUCGAAUCUUUGAACGCACAUUGCGCCCGCCAGCAUUCUGGCGGGCAUGCCUGUUCGAGCGUCAUUUCAACCCUCAAGCUCUGCUUGGUGUUGGGGCCCUACAGCUGAUGUAGGCCCUCAAAGGUAGUGGCGGACCCUCCCGGAGCCUCCUUUGCGUAGUAACUUUACGUCUCGCACUGGGAUCCGGAGGGACUCUUGCCGUAAAACCCCCCAAUUUUCCAAAGGUUGACCUCGGAUCAGGUAGGAAUACCCGCUGAACUUAAGCAUAUCAAUAAGCGGAGGAAAAGAAACCAACAGGGAUUGCCUCAGUAACGGCGAGUGAAGCGGCAACAGCUCAAAUUUGAAAUCUGGCCCUAGGCCCGAGUUGUAAUUUGCAGAGGAUGCUUUUGGUGCGGUGCCUUCCAAGUUCCCUAGAACGGGACGCCAGAGAGGGUGAGAGCCCCGUACAGUUGGACACCAAGCCUUUGUAAAGCUCCUUCGACGAGUCGAGUAGUUUGGGAAUGCUGCUCAAAAUGGGAGGUAUAUUUCUUCUAAAGCUAAAUACCGGCCAGAGACCGAUAGCGCACAAGUAGAGUGAUCGAAAGAUGAAAAGCACUUUGAAAAGAGGGUUAAACAGCACGUGAAAUUGUUAAAAGGGAAGCGCUUGUGACCAGACUUGCGUCCGGUGAAUCACCCAGCUCUCGCGGCUGGGGCACUUCGCCGGCUCAGGCCAGCAUCAGCUCGCUGUCGGGGACAAAAGCUUCAGGAACGUAGCUCUCUUCGGGGAGUGUUAUAGCCUGUUGCACAAUACCCUUCGGCGGGCUGA
rnacentral:rRNA from 1 species